rnacentral:rRNA from 1 species
AACGAACGUUGGCGGCAUGCCUAACACAUGCAAGUCGAACGAGACCUUCGGGUCUAGUGGCGCACGGGUGCGUAACGCGUGGGAACCUUCCCUUAGGUUCGGAAUAACUCUCCGAAAGGGGUGCUAAUACCGGAUAAUGUCUUCGGACCAAAGAUUUAUCGUCUUUGGAUGGGCCCGCGUUGGACUAGCUAGUUGGUAGGGUAAAAGCCUACCAAGGCGACGAUCCAUAGCUGGUCUGAGAGGAUGAUCAGCCACACUGGGACUGAGACACGGCCCAGACUCCUGCGGGAGGGGGCAGUGGGGAAUAUUGGAAAAUGGGCGAAAGCCUGAUCCAGCAAUGCCGCGUGAGUGAUGAAGGCCUUAGAGUUGUAAAGCUCUUUUACCCGGGAUGAUAAUGACAGUACCGAGAGAAUAAGCUCCGGCUAACUCCGUG